rnacentral:rRNA from 1 species
GACGAACGCUGGCGGCGUGCUUAACACAUGCAAGUCGAACGGUAAGGCCCUUCGGGGUACACGAGUGGCGAACGGGUGAGUAACACGUGGGUAAUCUGCCCUGCACAUCGGGAUAAGCCUGGGAAACUGGGUCUAAUACCGAAUAGGACCACAGGACACAUGUCCUGUGGUGGAAAGCUUUUGCGGUGUGGGAUGGGCCCGCGGCCUAUCAGCUUGUUGGUGGGGUGAUGGCCUACCAAGGCGACGACGGGUAGCCGGCCUGAGAGGGUGUCCGGCCACACUGGGACUGAGAUACGGCCCAGACUCCUAUGGGAGGCAGCAGUGGGGAAGAUUGCACAAUGGGCGAAAGCCUGAUGCAGCGACGCCGCGUGGGGGAUGACGGCCUUCGGGUUGUAAACCUCUUUCACCAUCGACGAAGGUCCGGGUUUUCUCGGGCUGACGGUAGGUGGAGAAGAAGCACCGGCCAACUACGUG